AGCGAACGCUGGCGGCAGGCCUAACACAUGCAAGUCGAACGAACCCUUCGGGGUUAGUGGCGGACGGGUGAGUAACACGUGGGAACGUGCCCUUUGGUUCGGAACAACUCAGGGAAACUUGAGCUAAUACCGAAUGUGCCCUUCGGGGGAAAGAUUUAUCGCCAUUGGAGCGGCCCGCGUCUGAUUAGCUUGUUGGUGAGGUAAAGGCUCACCAAGGCUACGAUCAGUAGCUGGUCUGAGAGGAUGAUCAGCCACAUUGGGACUGAGACACGGCCCAAACUCCUACGGGAGGCAGCAGUGGGGAAUCUUGCGCAAUGGGCGAAAGCCUGACGCAGCCAUGCCGCGUGAAUGAUGAAGGUCUUAGGAUUGUAAAAUUCUUUCACCGGGGACGAUAAUGACGGUACCCGGAGAAGAAGCCCCGGCUAACUUCGUGCCAGCCGCCGCGGUAAUAC
rnacentral:rRNA from 1 species